UACGUAGGGGGCAAGCGUUGUCCGGAAUCAUUGGGCGUAAAGCGCGUGUAGGCGGCCACUUAAGUCCUGCGUGAAAUCUUGCGGCUCAACCGCAAGCGGUCGUGGGAAACUGGGUGGCUAGAGUGCGGGAGAGGAGAGUGGAAUUCCUGGUGUAGCGGUGGAAUGCGCAGAUAUCAGGAAGAACACCCGUGGCGAAGGCGGCUCUCUGGAACGCAACUGACGCUGAGACGCGAAAGCGUGGGGAGCAAACAGG
rnacentral:rRNA from 1 species